UAUGUGAGGGUAGUGCCUGCAGGUGGAGAGAUUGAAGUGACCGAACACUGUGUCCUCACAGAUCCUGUUCAGGAAUUACGGCUGGCCUGAGAAACUGCCAGCUCAGGUCAGGUACCGUGAUCUCCAGCUAAGGUACAACAUGGACGACUAUUCAUCAAAGGGCUCCAGGGUGGUGGCUGUGAAAAAAACACAUCGAAACCUCCAGGCGGGGUUGACUGAGGAUUCAGUGCAGAGAGCAGUGGCUCUGGUGUCUAAUGAAUUCUGGGACUAUGAAGAGCAAGUGGAUCUCGAAGCAUUCAGCUCCAGCACCUUCUAUGACAUCCUACUCAAGCACAGCGUGUCUGUCACAAUACGUCUCGGGCAGCUCAGAGGAGAGGUGAAGCAGCUCUAUCAGGGGGUGCUGGGGAAGUUGAGAGAGCUCCACCCUGGCUGGAGGAUGUUUGGAGGGAAAACCGAAGGUCUGGAGAGGCAGGUGGAGCAGGAGAUGGUGCGACGAAGAGCACUGGGCAAUCAGCUGACACAGCUGCUGGACAGCCAGCUGCAGAUCCUGCGGGUGGAGAUGAGAGCACAGCAGGCCAUGCAGAAGACCUUCAGAGCACGACUGAGAGAGAGCGCGAGGCUUCUGAGACUGCUGGCUGAGGGUCAGACCUCGCUCUGGGAUAAACACAUCAAGCAACAUGUUCUGGAGCGGGUAGCUGUGCUGGCUGAUGAGAUGACUGAGAAGGUAUCAGUGGAGAGCCAGAGGCUGGGGGCCUGGGUUGUGCUUAAAGAGGGCACUGGAGCACAGCUAUUAUGCCCUGCUACUGGAUCAGUCCUCAGUAGGGAAGACAUCAUCGCUCCUGAUGGAUCUCUUAGAGCUUGUGAUGUCGUUCAUGUAAACCCCCUCACAGGCCUCAUUCAGCCCAACUCUAACGCCCAUAUGUUACUGGCCAGUGGACACAGCAUGCCAGUUCCCCCGGACUUCUUCCUACACUCCCAGACUGGCAAACUACUGCCUAUGGCUGGAAACGUGGGCUUUGAUCCUGUUUCCUCCACCCUUGUCUUUACAGCCGAUGCUUGUGUGGGGGAGGUGGGAAAAUGGGAACUACCCCUGCUGCCUUUCAUUCCGUACCCUCCAUCCCGCCACGCAGAACUCCAUGCUGCUUCCAAACUACGGGGGCUUCGUUCAGGCCAAAGGCUGAUGCUUGGAGGACCCAUGUGUGACUGUGACACUGGUGUUUUGGUGCCUAUUCUGGCAGUCACCAUCCAUCCACAAACAGGAUUGGUUUAUCCUUUGGGAGGCGUGCACACGUGUCCCAUCUCACGCCUGCGGCAGCCUAUUCAAAUAGGCUCUCCCAUGCUGGACCCACGUACAGGUGACCUAGUGCUCAUCACGGGCAUCACUCUUGAUCCCCAUACAGGGGCUGUACUUCCAGUUGGGGGGCUUCUCCUAGGCGAGUCCUUCAUCGAGCCCUUGAGCGGACGGAUGGUGCGGGUUGGUGGAGGCAGCGUGCGAGGAGGAAAGGUGGUGCCUCAUGCUGGGGGUUUCCAGGCUCUGCUGGACAGCCAGGCUCUGGGCGCUUGCUUGCGAAUGGCAGAGCUCUUGCAAGGAUUCAGUGAGGAGUGGAGCUCAGCAGCUGCAGAUCCACAAGGUGACCUGGACAGACUCUCGGCAGCAACAUCUGAGCUGGAGCAGGCCUGGAAAAGCAGCCAACACUGUAUGUUGCAGCUGCUGAGUCGCCUGGAAGCCGUACAGGGACAGGCCAGGGGUGUGGUGGAGAAUGGCGGUAGUGUGGGGGAAAUUAAGCUUCCUGGCAUUGAGCUCUCCUUGCCAGCUCUCCCCGGGUUGGAGUAUCCUGACCCUGGAGGCUCGGGUCUGCAUGUCCCAGUUCUGGGAGCUCAGUUGGACUGGAUGUCAGGAUCUAUGGUGCCCCUGGCAGGAACCAUGGAGGAUGCAGAUGGUAAAGGGCUAGUUCCCAUACAUUUUGGAGCGCAGACAGUGGACCCAGUGACAGGGGUGCUGGCUCCGGUUGUGGGGGCCAGUCUGGAUGUUUGGAAACGGACUGUGGUUCCUGUAACUGUGUCCCAGAUUCUGACGUUAGGAGAAAACCCAGACAGUGUCACGGUGGAAGCCCUCCAGAAAGAGAGCAGUGUACAGGGCAAUUACUGGCGUGAGCAGACACUGAAGGAAGAGGAGAUGGUGGGAGAUUUUGACAGAGCCAUUAAACACUAUCUGUCCACAUCCAUACACGAGUCUGACUGUAUAGACUGGAUGGACACAGACAGGCACCUCAGGGAGACCGCCGCUGAGAUUCAGGAAAGUGCUCAGUGUGAGGCCCAGAGAAAAGCUCUCCAGAACUCAGAGUUAUCGCUGCUCCUACAAGCCCAUGUGUUACACACCUUCACAGGAGGAGAUGAAGAGGAGUGGGAGCAGCAGUGUUACUGGCACACUGAGCUUAAGGCCGUGCUGAACCGAGUGAGUGUGUCCAUGGAGAGACUGCAGAGGGACCGGGAUCAGCUGUCGGCACAGGAAACGCAGCAUCUGGAUGGAAAACUGAGGGAGCAGGAUCUGUGGGAGCAUUUAAUGCAGAGACAAGCAGAGCUGGAUGCUGCACUUUCAUCUCUUCACUGUGCUCGUCAGGUCUGCCAGCUGCGUGCUGACAUUGCACAGUCUUUGGUUUGUGGCACAUUCUGGUAUAAGGAUUUUGGCAUGCUGCAGCCUAAGGGUGUGAGGAACCCUCUGAAAGUAAUAGCCACGACUCAGCAAAAAAUCCUUCCUCGGCUUGAACAACUUAUUCAGCUGCUGGAGGAAACCAAAGCACUUGGCCAGUCGACCAGCACACAGCGGCAGCAGAGCUCUGGAAAGCAGGCGUUCGACCGAGACAGCGCUUCCAGAGCGUGGACCGAAUCUGUGUCUGUUGUGAAAGGUGUCUCAACUCAGUCCUUUAAAGAUCAAAUGAAGGCUCCGUCUGUGAGUGAACAGAAUGCCACGGUGCCCUCUCUUCCUCUGUCAAACCCAUCUUACACUCAGAAAAGCCAGGAAAAAACACAACUGAACCACAGCCAGGAUGUCCAAUUUCUCCAGGAACCUGGUCUGUCCGCACACAUCAGUAUCCCACAGCUAGCAGAGGAAGACUGGUCCAGACUAGUAGCACUAUCUCCUCUAUUCCAACUGAUGAAGGAAGUGGAGCAACAGCUCAGGGAUAGUGCCAGAGAUAGAGGCCUUCUCAAGAUCCAGCCUUCGGGUGCAGGCCAGUCAUUCAUGGAUUUCAUGGAUGCCCAGUGGGAGUGUGAGGGAGAGCUGAUUCAAGUGAGCUCUGAAACCCUCAACCCACGACAGCUUCUGCUCUACCAGCAUGGACAGUUUCUCCUCCAGCACCUUCACUUACAAAAAAUGAUACCAGCAGUAACCCUUCAACUGGCUUCUACUCUUCCUUUCAACGACUACCAUAACAAUGCUUUCCGCAACUCUUUCUAUUAUCAGGAGGGACAGAAGACUCUGUUUGUUCGCAGUCAGAGAUUGCAAUCGGUGGGUGGCCUCUCUCUGCUGCUAAUGCACUGUGCUGCACACAUUUCCAUCGGCCAGAUGAGGACUGACACCAUUCCUGCCUUUCAAAGAGCCUUCUUCAAGGUUUUACAGGUGGGCUUAAGUGAGCUGUUCCAUGCCAGGCUGGGACAAACUGAUAGUCCAGAUGAUGAGAAGACGAAAGAUUUGGCGUCUGACGCAGCUCUCAAUGGUCUUCUGCUGGAAAGAGUCCAGAAGCCAAGUCCUGGGAUUUUUUCAGAGCAUGAGGUUUUGGGACGUCUGCGCAAAUACAGAGAGGCUUCAGUGUUCCGCCAGGUCGAGAGUCUCCUAAAAGAGUCUACAAAGAGCCUGGAGAUCAACCACCUCAACACUGACCCGUCACUCAACGACGACCCAGAAAGCCAAGCCGCUGCUCCUCCAUGAACUGACAUUUUAACUUUGAACAGUGCUGCCUCUCUGACAGUGAUGAAUCCAGCUUUCAAAGGCAUGUUAUGUGCUGUGAGGCAGCUGAUGGCCUUAUGGUCUUGGACGGUAGAGCAUCUAUUUUUGCUUCUGGUGGUGACCCAGCACAGCUACUUUCUUGUACAGAAGUUGAAAAAAUGGCACUAAGAAAAAAACAUUAAAAUGGGCAAUAUUUCCAUGCACUGCAUAGGCUCAGCAAACAAACCUCUGUUGAGUCCAGUUUUAAUGUAGUUUUCGAAAAUAAAGGCAUGUUACAGAAUUUGACCGUUUGAUUG
ensembl:lncRNA